AAGUAUAAAGGGGUCCAGCCUGCCCAGUGACCACAAGUUUAACGGCCGCGGUAUUCUGACCGUGCAAAGGUAGCGCAAUCACUUGUCUUUUAAAUAGAGACCUGUAUGAAUGGCCAAACGAGGGCUUAACUGUCUCCCUUUUCCAGUCAGUGAAAUUGAUUUACCCGUGCAGAAGCGGGUAUAAUAAUACAAGACGAGAAGACCCUUUGGAGCUUAAGGUAUAAAACUCAACCACGUAAAGCAACUAAAUAAAAAGCAAAAACUUCGUGAAAAAUGAAAUUUUACCUUCGGUUGGGGCGACCAUGGAGUAAAAAAAAACCUCCAGGUGGACCGGGACAAACCCCUAAAACCAAGAGAGACAUCUCAAAGCCACAGAAUAUCUGACCAAACAUGAUCCGGUAAUUAAUAAACCGAUCAACGAACCAAGUUACCCUAGGGAUAACAGCGCAAUCCUCUCCCAGAGCCCAUAUCGACGAGGGGGUUUACGACCUCGAUGUUGGAUCAGGACAUCCUAAUGGUGCAGCCGCUGUUAAGGGUUCGUUUGUUCAACGAUUAAAGUCCUACGUGAUCUGAUUUCCAGACCGGA
rnacentral:rRNA from 1 species